AGCAGCUGCGGUAAUUCCAGCUCCCAAUAGCGUAUAUUAAAGUUGUUGCAGUUAAAAAGCUCGUAGUUGAAUUUCGGGAUCAAAGGCGUCGGUCGUGCUUCGGUACGUACUGGCGUCAUUGAUUUCUCCCUUCUGACGAACCAUGAUGCCUAUUAACUUGGUGUUAUGGGAAAUCAGGACUGUUACCUCGAAAAAAUUAGAGUGUUUAAAGCAGGCUCACGCUUGAAUACAUUAGCAUGGAAUAAUGAAAUAGGACGUUCGAUCCUAUUUUGUUGGUUUUUAGGAUCAACGUAAUGAUUAAUAGGGAUAGUUGGGGGCAUUAGUAUUCAAUUGUCAGAGGUGAAAUUCUUGGAUUUAUUGAAGACUAACUACUGCGAAAGCAUUUGCCAAGGAUGUUUUCAUAAUCAAGAACGAAAGUUAGGGGAUCGAAGACGAUCAGAUACCGUCGUAGUCUUAACCAUAAACUAUGCCGACUAGGAUCGGAUGAUGU
rnacentral:rRNA from 1 species